UACCAGCCCCCUGAGUGAUAGGGACGAUUAUUUAGCCUAAAGCGUUCGUAGCCGGUCAAGCAAGUCUUUCGUUAAAUCCGACGACUUAAUCGUCAGACCGCGGGAGAUACUACUAGACUAGAGGGCGGGAGAGGUUGACGGUAUUCCUGGGGUAGGGUGAAAUCCUAUAAUCCUAGGAGGACCACCAGUGGCGAAGGCGGUCAACCAGAACGCGCCUGACGGUGAUGGACGAAAGCUGGGGUAGCGAACCGGAUUAGACACCCGGGUAGUCCCAGCCGUAAACGAUGCGGGCUGGGUGUUGGGGCAGCUACGAGUUGCCUCAGUGCCGCAGAGAAGUUGUUAAGCCCGCCGCUUGGGAAGUACGGCCGCAAGGCUAGAAACUUAAAGGAAUUGGGCGGGGAGCACCACGAAGGGGUGAAGCCUGCGGUUC
rnacentral:rRNA from 1 species